rnacentral:rRNA from 1 species
AGAGUUUGAUCCUGGCUCGGAUUGAACGCUGGCGGCAUGCCUUACACAUGCAAGUCGAACGGUAACAGGUCUUCGGAUGCUGACGAGUGGCGAACGGGUGAGUAAUACAUCGGAACGUGCCCAGACGUGGGGGAUAACGAGGCGAAAGCUUUGCUAAUACCGCAUACGAUCUAAGGAUGAAAGCAGGGGACCGCAAGGCCUUGCGCGUUUGGAGCGGCCGAUGGCAGAUUAGGUAGUUGGUGGGAUAAAAGCUUACCAAGCCGACGAUCUGUAGCUGGUCUGAGAGGACGACCAGCCACACUGGGACUGAGAUACGGCCCAGACUCCUACGGGAGGCAGCAGUGGGGAAUUUUGGACAAUGGGCGAAAGCCUGAUCCAGCAAUGCCGCGUGCAGGAUGAAGGCCUUCGGGUUGUAAACUGCUUUUGUACGGAACGAAAAGGCUCUGGCUAAUACCUGGGGCACAUGACGGUACCGUAAGAAUAAGCACCGGCUAACUACGUGCCAGCAGCCGCGGUAAUACGUAGGGUGCGAGCGUUAAUCGGAAUUACUGGGCGUAAAGCGUGCGCAGGCGGUUUUGUAAGACAGAGGUGAAAUCCCCGGGCUCAACCUGGGAACUGCCUUUGUGACUGCAAAGCUGGAGUGCGGCAGAGGGGGAUGGAAUUCCGCGUGUAGCAGUGAAAUGCGUAGAUAUGCGGAGGAACACCGAUGGCGAAGGCAAUCCCCUGGGCCUGCACUGACGCUCAUGCACGAAAGCGUGGGGAGCAAACAGGAUUAGAUACCCUGGUAGUCCACGCCCUAAACGAUGUCAACUGGUUGUUGGGUCUUAACUGACUCA